rnacentral:rRNA from 1 species
GCUCCAAGAGUGUAUAUUAAAAGUUGUUGCAGUUAAAAAAGCUCGUAGUUGGAUUUGUGGUGUACUUUGGCGGCCUGUCACAAUGUGAUGGAGCUUGCUGAAGUCGCCAUCCUUGGGUGGAUCCUGUGUGGCAUUAAGUUGUCGUGCAGGGGAUGCCAUCGUUUACUGUGAAAAAAUUAGAGUGUUCAAAGCAGGCUUAU